rnacentral:rRNA from 1 species
UACAGAGGGUGCAAGCGUUGUUCGGAAUUAUUGGGCGUAAAGCGCGCGCAGGCGGUCCUUUAAGUCUGAUGUGAAAGCCCACGGCUCAACCGUGGAGGGUCAUUGGAAACUAGGGGACUUGAGUACAGAAGAGAAGAGUGGAAUUCCACGUGUAGCGGUGAAAUGCGUAGAGAUGUGGAGGAACACCAGUGGCGAAGGCGACUCUUUGGUCUGUAACUGACGCUGAGGCGCGAAAGCGUGGGGAGCAAACAGG